AUACGUAGGGAGCGAGCGUUGUCCGGAAUUACUGGGUGUAAAGGGUGCGUAGGCGGGACAGCAAGUCAGGCGUGAAAUACCGGGGCUUAACUUCGGGGCUGCGCUUGAAACUGUUGUUCUUGAGUGAAGUAGAGGCAGGCGGAAUUCCUAGUGUAGCGGUGAAAUGCGUAGAUAUUAGGAGGAACACCAGUGGCGAAGGCGGCCUGCUGGGCUUUAACUGACGCUGAGGCACGAAAGCAUGGGGAGCAAACAGGAUUAGAUACCCUGGUAGUCCAUGCCGUAAACGAUGAUAGCUAGGUGUGGGGGGACUGACCCCUUCCGUGCCGGAGUUAACACAAUAAGCUAUCCACCUGGGGAGUACGACCGCAAGGUUAAA
rnacentral:rRNA from 1 species